GUAGGAACUUCGCGUUCCCACCCUCCAGGGGAGGAGAUUGGAUCAGGCGCCAGCCUUGAGGUGUCUGAUUGGAGAAAAGCUGUGCAGUGCCGCUCCCCCGACCGACUCCUUGAGAAGAAACGGCGGAGACCUGAGACCCGGAGGCUGAGGCUGUAGGUGGGCUCCGCUGGGUAAAAGUUGCCGCAGCAGCUGUCCCUUGGCCCCAUCGCGAUUUAUUUUUCCCCCUUGCUUUCCGGGUCCCGGGAUCCCAAGUUUGUAACUAACGGGAGCGAAUCCACACCCGAGCAAAAUGUUUGCGAGUUUCAGGCGCCCUUAGUUGAAAGGCUGUAAUUAACAAGUCCGCUGUUUGCCAGCCAGGCGCCGUUGCAGGCGCUUUCUGUGGAUUGUCAUUUAUUUCUCACAGCAACCCUAGGAGAUGAAAUUGAAUCAUGGAAGAAUGCCUUUAUCUGAGGAGUCAUCACCACUAGGGAGCUAUGGAGGCUGUUAUCCUUGACAUCUGCAGCAGCCCUUCCAAGCUGUGGAGACCAGGUCAUCUGGAAUGCCCAUUUAUGUCAAUGGAAGAAAGAAAAAGGGGUCUCCUCCCAUCCUCACCACUGCAUUCUCCCACCAACCCUGCUCCUGUCCCACUUCCCACAACUCAGUUGUUGACAAUUUAACAGUGGGUUUCUGGAAACAGUGCUGCCUCCUUGAUGGUCUAACUAACUACCAGAGUUAUUCUAACAGCAGGAAUUUCAAGCCAGGUUUGUAAAACAAGAAUGAAAAACGUUGACAGUUAUUCUGCAGAUUCGCUUUUCACCAAUACAGAAAUGUGGCAAAAAUACAAUUUGAUAUUAACAGAUGAAUUCAGAGGGCUUGGCCAGGAAGAAAAGAGGCAAACCAGACAUACAUAGGAGGCACAGCAAAAGACCCAAGGUGAGGGGCUUCCCUCACCUUCACCCUUGUUCUCACGUGGAGGUGGCGCAUGUCUAUGAGACACAGUACCCCACUCAGCGAUCCUCUGCAGUCCAGGAAAUUCUAGCACUUGCUUGGAAAACAAAUCAAGUGAAGCCUGUUGGCUUUUUGUGAGCUGCCUAUGGAGAAAUGCACAUGGCAAGGAACUGAGGGUUGCCUCCAGCAAACUGCUGGUGAGGGAGUGAGGCCUUCAGUCCAACAGCCUUUAAGGAACUGAAUCCUGCCAACAACCAUGUGAGUGGGCUUGGAGAUGGAUGCUACCACCAUCAAGCCUUCAGGAGUGAAUUUUUUUGUUCUUGAGACAGCGUCUCAUUCUGUUGCCCAGGAUGGAGUACAGUGGUGCCAUCUUCGCUCACUGCAGCCUUCGUCUCCCGGGUUCAAGCAAUUCUCCUGUCUCAGCCUCCCAAGUAGCUGGGAUUACAGACCCAUCAAGCCUUCAGAUAAGACUGCAGCCUCAUUACAGACCUUGAACUGGAGGCAGCCAGCUGAGUCACACCUGGAUUCCUGACCCUUAGAAACUAUGAGAUAAUAAAUGUUUACAGUUUUAAGCCACUAAGUUUCG
rnacentral:lncRNA from 10 species